UCCGUCAUAACCCAAGUUGUUCGUAUGUCAGGCCAGUUGUAACUCGAGGGUCCACUGUAAUCAGGGACAAAAGUCAUUGGUUCAAUUUAUUAGUCAGUGAAUUCCAUUUGAAAGCAAACCUUGUACCAGAAUUAAGACAUUGUCAUGUUUUGUGCAUAGUGAGAUAGAGAAUCACUGAGCUGAAGCCAACUUUGAAAAUGUAGUUCGAGCACUUGGGAGGCUGAGGCAGGAGGAUGGAACCUAGGAGACUAACCCUGCCUCAAACAAAAACUAGGAAGGGGUGUGUAGCUCAAUGGGUAACUUUGUAAGUAGCACUACCACCAUCACAGAAAUAAAAAUCUAAUCCAAAACACAUCAUGCAGGAAGGACAACACACUCGGAGAGACCAAGUCAGGCUCCGUCAGGCUCCCAGCUCAGGCUGAAGUCCCGUCUGGACCUUUGUACCCAACAGCCUGCCUCGCUGUGCUGAGUACAGAGUCUCGGUCUUCCAGAGGUGUUGGUCCAGAAUCGGCCUUUAUCCGGGUGUCACUGUGGGCAGGACAGCUGGCUGCUUCUGCAAUCGCUUUCUAGCAUCACACCUUCAAGGAGAAACACUUGAACAAUUCCUUAGCAGGGUGUUGUGGCGCAUGCCCGUGAUACAGCACUCUGGGAGGCUGAAGCAGGAUGAUUUCAAGUUUGAGCCUAGCCCAGGCAAGUUAGAUUUAUCAAAUUAAAAAGGGUUGCAGCCCAGUACAAUUGCAGCCACUCAUCACAGACCUCUGGCUCCUUUCCUGUAACUGCUCCUACGUUACUAAUCUCUCUCUUUUCAAGCUUGCCUGUGCAUACUGGAGUGUCAACAGUUUCAUUCCCAUCCCAGCAGCUCAGAAGAUUUAGAAACAAUGCAGCUGCAGCAGGGUUCAAAGGUUUCAAGCUGCAUUUGGGAUUCCCAGAACUCACACUGCAUCCUCUGUCUUCACAUUUUGAGACAAGAUCGCACUCUGUCAUCCAGACUGGUCUUGUACUCACUACAUAGCCCAACCAGCCUCAAGCAAGAGAUUCUCCUGCCUCAGCCUUACCCACACCUGUGUGGAAUAAAGUUGUCACAUCUGA